GUUGUUCGAGCUCGGCUUGAACGUCGUGUACUGCGGCGGCUUCUCGAUCUUGCAAUGGGGCUUCAGGGUUGCUAAACGAUCUGGUUUGAGAAACAGCUGCUCCCCCUGCACAAUUUUCAUCUUAAGGAUCUUAACCCAUUAAGGACCAAGCGGCGAGGAUCUGCGAUGAAGAGAAGAAUAUCAAGCAAAUGGAAUUUCCUUUCACAAUCACAACGAUAGAAAGCAAAAUGAGAGGAAAAAUUGCAUGGACGAAGUUCACCGACGGCGAUGACAGUCUCGAAACGCAAGCAGCGAGGCUAAUUAAUGGUUACAAUGAUCCUGUGCUAACGAUGACAAUGACGUGUUGCGAUCAGACGAAGCGCGAAUGUGACGAGGAGAGAGAGAGCGAGAGAGAGAGAGAGAGAGAGAAAGAGAGAGAGAGAGAGAAAGAGGGAGGGAGAAGAAACGUCGUCUCAACGAAGAUAAGUAAAAGAUAUGUACACAGAAAUGUUAGCAUGCACGCGGAAUUUGCGAGGUCGUAACAUGCUCGGUAAUAAUCGUCGUCGAACGCAAAUCAAGGGGAAAUCCCUUCGAACGAUUAAAUUACAUCGUAAAUUACGUUCGUUUGGUAGCGAUAGCGCCCACGUUGCGCCUUUUCACGGUUUCGUUUAAGUAAAUAGCAAUUUGCUCUCUUGUCUAUCGAUUUUCGGAGAAACCAGUUAAGCGUGUGUACAAGACGGAACUUAACGUUAUCGAGCCGCGGAAUUGUUCUGAAUAAUCGUAAACUUCGAUUAGUAAUUAGCAUUACUGUAACCUAUCCCAAUCGUUCGAAGGGGUAAUUCUCAGUAAUCGCUGAUACGCUUAUUCGAAGUUGGAUUAUUUAAACGAAUAGAUCGGUAAUCGAACAUGCGAUUAUCCGUGGCUUUUAAUUACAUUGGCGGAUGCUCGCCGUCCGGUUAUUAUAAUAACAAUAAAUCUGUCGGUAAUGAGAUUUAUCGUAAGUAAUUAUCUUCACAACCAUAUAUAUAUAUAUAUAAAUUGUCGAAGUCUCCUUGAUACCUCGAUAUACAGUGAUCAGGCAAUGAUUCAGCCGAUGGUAUACUUACGAAAUAAGUAUACGUAUACGUAUGUAUACUGUUUUUUAAAAUAAGAGUCAGUCUUUCGUUUAGAAACGACAACGCCGACAAACGCGCGCUCGUCCUGGAAACAGUGCUAUUUGGAUGCAAGAACGAAACGAAAGCGAUGGGAAGGAUGCAAGCCAGAUGGACCAAAUCAAACUCCUAACCCAAUCUCGUCCUUCACGGUACAACAGUCGCUUCUCUUAUAACGCGCGACCAAUUUCUGGUUUCUGUUGAGUAAUACAGAGACAACAUUCAAAAUUCUAAUACUUAAUUUACCUGCUGUAUGUUUUCCACGCGAUGCCCCGCGGAAGUGGGUCAGAUUAUAUCAUCGAAAUGGCUCGAGAGAAAAGUUAAAUUAGGAUUCGUUUUCUUUUUGCGGCCGACCUGCAACAUUCCUUUCUACUUGCCGUUACUUUCAAGACACAGUCUGACCCCCGUAGCACGAACCGCAUAGAAAACGUUCGUGAACCGAUUAUUCGUUCGAUUGUUCAUCGUUAAUUAACAAGGAAAGGAUGUAAUAGUCGGACUGAUUUGAGAAAGUGGCAGUCGCGUUAAAGCAAAAGUGGCUGCAACCGCUACUUACGUACACGUAUCUAAAUGACGUUACCUACGACCUACAAGGACAUUGCGGUAAUUGGCAGAGGGAUACCGCGAUGUCUAGAUGCAACCAAAUGCAUGCGUAAUGUACCCUACUGGCCGCAUAAAUCACUCAAACGACUAUCUCGAUCGGGGUAGGGACAGCGACUAGUGGUCAAUACUUGUGCAGGUCUAUAUUGUCAACGUGGCGUUAUUGCGAUACGAGACGGAAAAUGUGGCAUACUUUCGAUGUGUAUGUGUAUAUACAAGUUUACACGACGAUGGUCGGUAAUUGUAUAAUAUAUGUAUCACUUUUGUAAAGCGUUACACCAUGUCUCGUGCAUAGCGGAUGCAUGCGUAUCCUUCGAGAUCGUUCCUUUUUCGUUCAUACGUCGACGGAAUUUGAACGAGCGAACUCCCGAUAGAAUGGUAUCUAACGAGAAAACACAACGCGAUCGACGAUAUCGUAAAAAUAGUUGGAAUGAAAUCAUCGCGGUCUGAUAACAGCUACUUUUAUUCGCCGGCGUUAUGGGACACGAGAGUCGAGCAUGUGUAUUUGUAAUACUCUCGCCGUAAAUGCUCUCGAUAUAUCAUUUUAGCGUGAUGCUUUCGACUAUCGUGAGAUCGUUCUAAGGUAAGCGCGAACACGAGAAAGGGCGACGAAGACUGCAAAAUGCUCGGUCAAGACCAAGACAUACAGCGAUGUAAAAAUUUCUUGGUUAGCCGUUAGACCGAUGGAUUCUCUCGUGCCAGACGAAAUUGUACGUCUUGCGGGCCUUCAAGUCAUGCGUAAAUAUCUGAAAGGUGUAACGGAUGCUAAACUCUCGAAUAUGAAACUCUUGUGUUACAACCAACGAUAAAACGCUGAAAGAUCUUUGAUCUUUCUCGGAGCUUUAAACUCUUGACAAAAUAAAAAAAAAAAAGAAAAAAAGAAGAAGAAAAGGGAUCGUGCUUGGUAUCCUGCAUCGAACGAGAUGAUACGGUAAUGUUGAAAACCGAAGCAACUUGAAUGCAGCCACGGACCGAAUGCUUCUACGCGUUGUUUUUCGCGUACGUUAGCUCACUCUCGUUUCUCGAGUUUUCGCGGGAGCAAAAAAAUUUCACUUUUAACGUGUACCUUUGCACGGCUGCAAUGGACCGAACGCAACGCUCAUCGGAUAAAAAUCCAAAGGGAAUUUCGUUUCGUUGCUUAUUUUUUCCCCGAGUUGGCGAUUUAAAUAGAUAAAUAAAAAAAAAAUAAUAAAAAAAAGAAGAAAGGAAACGUGGGAAGAUCCCGGGAAAAAUCAAGCGCGGAAGGAUCGAUGGAAAAACUUGACUAGGCGCUGUUGGGAAUGGAAAAUUAAAAUGAGCUGCCCGGGGGAUGGUGUUGCGUCGUGUACGUUUCCGUUAGCAGAGAUUCGCUCGAAAAAUGAGCAAGAAAAGCACAGUGUCUAGGGAAGUUGUGCUGUGCGUAUUGUGUACCGUUCGUGCAUUCGUUCAGCUAUACGAAGGGAGAGAGAGACAGUCAGGUCUAAGGGAAAAGGGAAUAAAACAACGUUUUGCGGGAUGUCGCUCAGCGACAUCGUCACUCUACUCUGUGAGAAUAGUUUUUGUUUCUUGUCU